rnacentral:misc_RNA from 1 species
UUCAAAUCCGACACAAACCACAGCUGUGGUGGUACAUGUGUCCGGGUAUAGAAUGGCUAGUGAAAUAACACUGGGAGAUCAAGGAUGCCAGACAUAACAAGACCAGCAUUGCCAGUCCUCCCACCAUGGAGACAGGAAGUGCAUAUGUUGAGGACGUCCUCCGUUCUGGAGUAAAGAGCGCUGAUGACACAUUUGAGGCCCUGGUUGUGAUUGAGUUUACUGCCGAGGCCAAGCAGGCAUCCAUUGAAUGGCUCAUGGCUCGGGUACAGGCGCCAAAGUCUGAAGGUGGCGCCGACCUUCAGCUGAGGAUGAUGGUCAUGCAGCAUAAUAAGGAGAGCGGAGAUGCAUCCACAGAAGCGGACCGGGAGACCAUCUUGUACAUUGGUGCCAGUAAUGAACGACUGCUGAUGUCGGCAGAAGUGAUGGCAAUGAAAAAGCCACACACAGAUGGAUUUCUCCACGAGUUUUCUGUUGCAGACUUCGACAACUUUCGUGGUUCAGGAGAUGUUGGUACAUUUUUCUCAAUGGCCGAGAAGCAGAAGAUUAUCCUGAAGGAACUGGAGGGUAUCCGGGCAGGGGAGAUGGAUGCGCACAUCCCAGGAUAUGAGCAGCACAGACUCUACCCUGGGAAGAGCAUAAUCAAGAAGUACCAGAGUCGACAGAUUGUGCUGCAGUUGUUUCCUCUGCACGAUGAGGAAGGUUUGAAGACACUAGCAAGCGACUGGUGUGGUGUCCGCAAAGUUUUCAGCAGGCAACCAAUACAUCGUAUACAAAGAUAUUUUGGUGAGAAGAUUGGCAUUUACUUUGCAUUUCUGGGUCUGUACACCAUUUCUUUGAUACCACCGGCGCUCAUCGGGGUGGUGUAUUUUGUAACUUCAUGGCGGAGUAUGUACAGGGAGACGAUAUUCGCUGUGUUCAACCUCAUCUGGUCCACCAUAUUCCUGGAAGCCUGGAAGCGCUACUGCUCCGAACUCACAUAUCAGUGGGGGAGCAUGGAUUCUGUGUCGUCCAAAUUUGAAGAGCCCAGAGCAAAUUAUCAUGGCUCUCUCGGCCGGAACCCAGUAACCCAGAAGCCAGAGCCGUCUUUCCCCAAAUGGAAGCGUCAGAUGAGGUUCUAUAUGAUUACAGUGCCGGUGAUAUUUGUGUGUCUGGUGGCAGCGUUCUUUGUCAUGCUGGCCUAUUUCUGGAUGCAGGAUUGGGCGGACAGUGUCUACGCCGGGGACAAACAUUGGGUCAACUACAUCCUCUUGUAUGCCCCUACAGCUGUGUAUGCUGUCAUGAUCGGCAUACUCAAUGGCAUCUACAGGAUGGUUGCCAAAAAACUGAACGAUUGGGAAAACCACAGACUCCAGUCUUCCUAUGACAACCAUUUUACAAUCAAACUAGUUCUGUUUGACUUUGUGAACUGCUUCAUUUCGCUGUUCUAUGUGGCCUUCUACAUGCAAGACAGAAAUGUUCUCCACAGUCACCUGGCCUGUCUGCUCAUAACAUCUCAGGUCGUGGGUCAGAUCCGAGAGGCUAUCGUGCCAUUCUUCAUCUUCCGCCGCCGAGCCCGACAACUGGACACUGUGUUGAAGAAGACGGAGGCGUUGCAGAUGGUGAACGGCCGGGACGAUGUGGCGAAGGUGGUGCAGAAGCAGGCCAACUUGGAGGCCACCAUGGACCCUUAUGAUGGUCCAAUGGACGACUACCUGGAGCUGUUUCUGCAGUUUGGCUAUGUCUACCUCUUCUCCUCCGCCUUUCCACUGGCCGCUCUGUGGGCACUUCUCAACAACAUCACAGAAAUCAGAACCGAUGCCUUUAAGAUGUGCAAAAUCUUCCAGAGGCCUUUCUCAGAGUCGGUGCCAAACAUUGGUGCAUGGCAGGUGGCAUUUGAAAUUAUUGGGGUCAUCUCGGUAAUGACGAACUGCGCCCUGAUCGGGAUGGACCCCGAAGUACAGAAACUCAUGCCUUCCAAUGUCACGGCUGUCAACAUCGUUCUCAUCUUUGUUGCUGUCGAGCAUCUGGUGUUGGCGGUGAAGGCUGCCGUGGCGUUCUUCAUCCCGGACGUACCCAAGUGGGUGGAGCUACAGGUUGCCAGACAGGAAUACCAGCUGAGGCAGGGCAUGAUGAAGGAGAGAAUGGCAGCAUCAACACGCACAAAACAAAUCCUGAAGAAAAUGAUCCAAACCCGGAAACCCAUGACAACCGACAUGAAGUAGACCGUCCUGCACAGGGGAGUCGUAAUCCAGGAAGACUGUGGUGGAAGCUCUGUCGUCUUGUUCUACUUCUAUCUCUAAGUAUGGCCUGACCCAGGGCACUGAUAUGCAUCAGUUUUCAACACCUUUCUUUUUGCUUUCAUUGUUAAGUCAGUGGAGUAAAUCUAAAUACUAUCCUUUCGGUUUUCAAUUAUAUACUAAAAUAUAGCAUAAGAUGAGAGUAGCAUACAGCUACUCGAUCAUAAGUCUGAUAUGUCAGUGCAAGGAUUAUAUAGAAAAAGGUUGUCAUACACCAAUAAGGUAUUCAUACCUACAGAGUCUGCCCAAAAAUGGUUGCCCAUCUGGUGGAGAAAUAUUCGGUUUUAUUUUUCAUCUCUAAUUUUCUGCAAACUCAUUUUGAUAAAAAUUAUAAGCAUUUGCAUUAAUGAUCUGUGUGUGAUGGUAUAUAAGACUUUGUUGUUGAUUUUUUCAUAUUGUGAUGACAUUGAUGUUUGAGUUGAUUGGAUUUCAGAGAAAUCAACUCCAUUUUCAAAGUACUUGUCUAAAUAAUGAUACUAUUAAGGCAAACAAAUGAAGUGGUUUUUUUUACCGAAGCAAACCUUGAGUAUUAACUGCCUCAGCGUGUGAGUAAAUCAUGUCCUAAAUUUAUGAAGGCAACAAAAAUGUAAUUGCAUAAUUUCUAAAAGUCUAUAACACUGGUAUUAUAGUUAUAUAUAUAGUAUACUAGUAUAAUACUGGUAUUGACAUAAAACUUCAUCUAUCCUUGAAUGUUGACUGUAGCAAAACUAGUCGAAGCCUUCAUCAAGAGUCUAGCACUCAUGGUCUUCCUGUCACCAUGUGCCUGACAGUGCAGAGACUAUUCACCUAACCACUGCCAUGCUCAGUAUCAUGUGUUUGCAUGAACCUCUGGUGUGUCAAUCCAAGCAUGUGUUAGAAGCUCAAAAACGUCCUGGGUACAUGUGAUGAAUACCUUAGAUGUUGGUUUGAUGAGUGAAGAUUAAUUCAUUUUAAAACUAAAUUUCUGUCAUCAUUUUAUUGAUCCAUAACUUGUUGUUCAGAAAAUAGUAUUCCAAAAUUUAUUUUGAUAUUCUACAUUUAAAGCUGGGACAAAUGAUUGGUUUAACUGAUUUGUUCUGGGAUAUUUUCCACAUAAUGAAGCCAUAUGCAGAAUCAAACCUAGGUCUUCUGCUAGAUGAACUGAACCACUAACCUCUGGACCACCCACUUACAACUUAGGUGACUGUGUUGAGUUAUUUGUGUGUGAAGUGUUGUGCAAUACUCCUUUACUUUUAUAAAGGAAAUAUUUUUACUAUUUCUGUAGUACAUUUUAGUUACAGAACAAUUUAGUGAAUAGUUUAUGUGUUAAUAGAAGUUAAGUUGUUGAUCUGAAUAUGCCACUGAACAUAUCAUGUUGCUUAUCUUUUCCUUUGAAUGGAGUGUAGAUUAAAUACUUAUACCUCUGUCUUUUUCCCCCAAAGUCUCAUCUCUUUGGGUCUCUGUGAUAGUUUUGAUCAUGGGACAUGAAAAUAUCUGUUGCUUUGAUAGAUGAUUUAGAUAUUGAUGAACUGAACCACUAUUUUGGAGUAAUCAAAUGCUAUGACACAACAGGAUGUAUGAAAUAUCCGGAAAAUAAGAAUGUGGCCUUUAUUAUUUCAAUUCAGAACUGCCUGUUUAAGUUUGUUUUUGAGAUUCAGAAAUCAGAUAUGCUACUCUGUAUGCUCUGUUCGCUUGUACCAAGAACUUAUAUUAAAUUGGAUUAACAACCAAAACAACAUCUGGAUUAAUAACAAUAUGAGUAAUUUGCUUUAUUAAAUAUCAUUUUUGUCCCAAAAUAUUUUAGAUAAUUAUUGUUGAUAUUUGUAUUGAUGUUGGUACUUAUCAUGUGAAUUGUUUUCUUCAUCUGCUUUUAUGCAUUUCAGUAUUUUUUAUACUUUCCUACCUUUUCAUAACAUAUCUAGUGUACUUUUAUCAGCAACUAUAUAUUUUCAGGGUUUAUUGGUUGUUGUUUUAGUGUGUGUUACAAUUUGGUAUAAAUGUUAAUGUUUCACAGAGGGAUAGAAUUGAAAAGCUCAUCUUUUAGUAUUAAUAUUGGGAUUUAUGUCCCAGUUGUGUGAAAAUGCUCAACUUGGAAUGAACAACAUCCAAGGAAAAGUCUCAGUACCCCAAAACUUUUAAAAAACUUAUUUAUUAUAUACAUGUAUUCAUGUAUUCACAUUCUUCAUGUUUUAAUUAGUGCUGUUACAGGAGCCUUUUGCAUAAAUGUGGAAUUCAAAUGUAAUGACAUUUGACAUUAAAUAUUUCAGUAGAGGCAUGUGUUUAUGUGGUAGUCCUUAUGACCUAUAUAAUAAUCCUUCAGUGGUAGUGGUAGUAGUUCAAUUACCAUCCUCAUCACCAGUCUUCCAAUAUACAGUAAAAAUAACUUUUGUUAUUGGUUUUGUUUCUCAUGUUUGAGGUUUUUGAAAAAAUCAAUUCAGCAACUUUCUUUCAUAUGACGAUUUUAAAUGCAGAGUCGCUAGUCAUAAAGUAAAUGUUUCGCCAUCUAAAGCACUGUGGUUAGAGUUACCUGCCCUUGCUCUAGGAACUAGUAACUAGAUCUAGUCAGUGUUUGUAUUCAGUGAGGAGGACCACAAAUCUGAAUAGGUGACUGAUUAUUUUAGAGUAAAAGUUUAAUUUAGUUUUUUUUGUCCAUAAUUUUUUAUUUCCAUCCCUGAAUAUGUGAUUGUUAUAACAAAAAUGAUAUAUCGUUUACAUGUAGUUCUGACAAUGAUUUAGUUGUCUCCUAGUGACUGAUAGAGUCGGGUAGCCAAAGUAUGUGGCAGCCUUCUAGUUGUAUAUUAGACUUACAUUAUAACCUUUUGUGAUGUCAUAUACCAAAUAAAAAAACUAAAAGACAUCCAGAGACACAGCUGGUCAUUUGAACCAGUUUACCAUUCUGGUUUCAGGUUAGGGAAUGCUCAGUGUUCUUCUUCCGAUUCCUUAUACUUUUAAAACCAUACAGCUUGACAGUUAUACUGUACGCUAGUCCUUCAAAUUUAGUACUCAUAGAUUUCAGUGCAAGUUAAGAUUUGUUUGAUUGUUGUUUAAUGCCGCCUCAGCAAUAUGACUGUGGUCUAUAAAUAAUCGAGUCUGGAGCCAGACAGUCCAGUGAUUGACAUCAUGAGCAUCAAUCCACGCAAUUGGGAUACAAUGACACGCAUCAACCAAGUCAACGAGCCUGACAACCCGAUCCCGUUAGUCGCCUACUACGACAAGCAUAGUCGCCUUUUACGGCACGCAUGGGUUGCUGAAGACCUAUUCUACCCAGUUUCUUCAAGGGUCACAAGUUAAGAAAGAUAACAGUGAUUGAUAUAUUUUAAAUGUUUCGAGCUUUAUUAUAUAUAUAUACUUAUCGCAAGGGGUCAAUAAGUACAGAUGAUGAUCUCUCAGCCUGACUUCGGUGGAAACAAGGCUGUGAGUACAGGGAAAUCCCAAGGCGCAGAUGUGCAUGAUAAUUAAUUAGGUAGCCAAUCAGAUUUCAGUAUUUUAUCUCGUGGUGUGAUGUACAUAUAUCAUAAAUAGAACUUGAUACAUGAAUAGAUUUUCAGAAAACAUUCAUGGUUGGCGUGAAUCAUGAAUUAUACAUAUGCAUUUAUGUAAAGUGUAAUGGACUUAGGAGCAUGUAGAGAUUUACGAUACCUGACUCUACUAGGUAUAGGUGUCACAGAUGUAUACAUGUAAUAAUAUAUUCCUAUUUCUUGUGUUUAGUUAAGUGAUGAGUCCCAUGUAUGCAUGCUGUUUUUGGUGAUAGGAAUAUACAUGUAUUUAUUUCAAAAACUGACAUUAUAGGGUAUGGGUUGAAGUAUUGUGUAUUGGGUCUUGUGUUUUCUCAGUUGUGUGGAGAAUAUUAUGUAAUCAUAGUGUACAAAUAUAUCAGCCAUAUAUUUCCACCUUGGUGACAGCUAUGCCGAAGUCUAGAAAGUCUUUCAUAUCGUGUUGUUUACAAACAUGAUUUGAUCAGUGAUGCAAGAACAUUGACAUUGAGAAGUUGUUAAGACUUGAAUACACUCGCUGAAUGCCUAUUGACAUUGUCUUGAAGCUAAUGUGUUUUAUUGGUAAUACUCUGUGAAGCGAGAGUAAUUAUUGUUUUCAUCAGAAUAUUUUCACCUGAACAAAUUAUGCAUAGAAACGUUUAAACUGUGAGAACCUUGAGACAAGCUUAAACAUCACAGCUCACAUGGCAAAAUUUUCAGAUGACAUUUUGAAGAACCAAAAAUAACAUUAGGCUUUUUCUUUCUUGUUAUCUUCCUUGCCUUCCAACCAGUAUUGUCACAAAAAUAUAUGUUUAUCAUUGAAGACAUAAAAAUUCUCUCCUUGUUACCAGAUUUUGAUGAAAGCAUAUUGUAACAACAAUGCACAUACUUUCCUCAUGAAAACAUGUACCCUGUAUGUGUGCUCCCCCUUUCCUCCAUCAGUCAGUCAGUCCCUAUGUACUUCCUGGGUGUUAAGCAGCUUUUGUAUGCUAUUUUCUUUACAACUUAUCACAAAAAUGUUUAAAUGUAUGAUAACAUUGAACUUACAUUUAUUUAUGCAAGGUCUGACCAUUUACGUCUUGUCUUACCGAUAAAUCUGACGAGAUUCAGGAGGCAAUAUGAUGAACAAAAACAUUGUCAGGCUUGAUGGAAAGUAAAUUCUUAAAAAUAGUUCUUUUAAAUAAGAGUAAAAACAAAACUAUAAACAAAAUAAUGUCAACAAAGAGCUUUGAAUUAUCAAAGCAUAUUUAAUAUCUUUUACUUAUUCAAAAUUUAGAAAAGAUUUAUCCAUAAAUAACAAAACUAUAUACCUGCCUAAUUGAAGUAAAGAUAAACAGUUACUGUUACGACAGUGGUUUCCCACUUUGUGUUAACUCUGCAAUGAUACUGAUUGCAUGACAACAGCUGCUUUACAGAAUGUAUAUGGACGGAAGUUUUUCUUGUAUCUUAAUCUUUGAAUUACACACAACUAAAAGUGAUUAAUGAUAAUCUUAUGAAGUGAAGUUAAAGUUAUUUAACGAGAAAUGAUAGGUCAGUCCUCUCAAGCUGCUACUGUAAAUUUAGAGACACAGGAAAUUGUCUCUUUUCAAUCUCAUUGAAAUCAGAUCUUUGUGCUACUCUAUAGCUGUAGGAAGCACAAAGAUCUGAUUUUAAUGAGGUUCGUCUCUUUUGAUCAUAUCAUAAAAGCUGUCAAUGUGGUUUUAUGACAGUUCGAUUAUUUCAUCUUUAGUGAUAAUCAUGAUUGUGCCAUACUGCGAUCCUAUUUCUGACUGCCAUUAUACAGGAUGAGUGAAAUACUGAUUUCCUACACUCUUUGUUAUUAAGCAUUAUUAUAUAUCCACAGUGGACAUGAGUCUAGAGCCAUGUGGCAUUUUACAUCUCAGGGUAUGCUCACUAAAUGCUGAGGAGAUCAAUUAUGAUGAGAACUGUGUUAGAUGUUUUGUGACAACUGUUUGUUGAGAUGCUCCAUGUUGAGCUCAGUGCUGACCACUCCAUAACAUGUGGAAAUGUCAAGGUCAUACCUCCAUGGGGUCAAGAUGAAUUAUUUUUGAUACAUCUCAAGACAUGCUUGAUGUGGUUAUCCUGUCAGUAGGCAUCAGAGUUGCUCAUGUUGUUGACCCCAUCUGUUUCUUUAUUUUGACGACUCUUCUGGAUUCUUUUAUUUGUACUAAAUUUUAUUCAUAUAUCCUUUUAACAUGUUUAACCAUUGUUACCAGUAUAAUAAAAUAAUGAAUCUUU